rnacentral:rRNA from 1 species
AAAUUGAAGAGUUUGAUCAUGGCUCAGAUUGAACGCUGGCGGCAGGCCUAACACAUGCAAGUCGAACGGUAACAGGAAACAGCUUGCUGUUUCGCUGACGAGUGGCGGACGGGUGAGUAAUGUCUGGGAAACUGCCUGAUGGAGGGGGAUAACUACUGGAAACGGUGGCUAAUACCGCAUAACGUCGCAAGACCAAAGAGGGGGACCUUCGGGCCUCUUGCCAUCGGAUGUGCCCAGAUGGGAUUAGCUAGUAGGUGGGGUAACGGCUCACC